rnacentral:lncRNA from 1 species
CGCCUUGAUAUUUGAUUAAUUUGAUUUUAUGACAGCAGCAGGCAAACUUUUGUUUUGGCUGUAGUCUCAAAUUACAAGUCCAGGUGCGGUUUUGAAGCAGUUCCGCAGUCAGUCACUAGAGGGUGCUGUGUAAUUCACCUCUACAGUGAUUCAUCAGAGAUGCUGUAUAUAAACAAACAUGCUCACACACACAUUUAGCAUUGGCGGCGGUAUAUGAUUUCCCAUUGGAAGUCGUGAUGUUGUUUCUGCUCUUAAACUACUUUUGAUAAACUCAACAGAAUGUCUUUAAACCUGCCGGUAGGGGAAGGAUGGAAACCAGGACCAUUGCUGUUUAAGCACAAGGCAUGGCCAGAUUGCUCUGUUCCGCUACGGAGCAAAGGAAUGGAUGUGUCUUGAUCAUUUGUCUGUAGUAUUGCCAGAAAACAACAUGAUGGAGCAGUCAGUCAGUCCAAGACCUGAUACCGUCCAAGCCCACCCAGAGACUCCACUUACAGUGACAUCAAACAAGAACGAGAGAGGAAAGAAAGAUACAGGACCGGGGUCGGGAACAGGGGAGCUUUGGUUACCAAUCCCCAAAGAAUACUGUAAUCUUAACACAGAGAUUCACAAGUCACCAUUUCUUUGUUUUUAAUGAUGGAAAAUUACUGUUGCAUAAAUAGAUAUAGGCCUAUUUCACUUUAUGUGUAUUUCAAAUGUAAGCCCAUAUCCUAAAUCAUUAGAACAUUUGUUUGGACAUGCCAUAGAUUUAAAAUCUUUUAAUCUGUCACAUGCUUCUGCAAAAUUCUGUGUGUUUCCCAGGUCACAGGUGACCUCACCGAGCCAGACGGUCUCUGUUUGCCCUUCAGUCGAAGGGACAGAGUCUGCACUUGAGUAUUUUGUGCUGGUGGCUGUAAGCAUCAGCCAAAGGGUGCAAACAGUACAAAUCUGGUGCAAAACACAUGCUCAGUUAUUUGUAUUCCUGUUGGCCUCAUAUGCUUUUUUUUUUUUUUUACUUUAUGCCAUUUUCAAGAAAAGUUUUAGUUUAAUGGUUCAAAAAAUGUCAUGUGGUAUUACCAAUCAAAAGGUAUAUAUAUAUUGUAUUUUACUAAAAAUACAAAAAAGUAAAGAUCUGUAAAGAUCAUUAUUUCAUUCCUAAAAUAUUUUGAAUAUAUUGUUCAAGAUAAGACUUUUUUU